rnacentral:rRNA from 1 species
UACGGAGGUGGCGAGCGUUGUCCGGAUUUACUGGGCGUAAAGAGCGCGCAGGCGGUCGUUCAAGUCGCGUGUGAAAGCCCCCGGCUCAACUGGGGAGGGUCACGCGAUACUGAUCGACUCGAAGGCAGGAGAGGGUAGUGGAAUUCCCGGUGUAGUGGUGAAAUGCGUAGAUAUCGGGAGGAACACCAGUGGCGAAGGCGACUACCUGGCCUGUUCUUGACGCUGAGGCGCGAAAGCUAGGGGAGCAAACGGG